rnacentral:rRNA from 1 species
AGUGAACGCUGGCGGUAGGCCUAACACAUGCAAGUCGAACGGCAGCACAGUAAGAGCUUGCCCUUACGGGUGGCGAGUGGCGGACGGGUGAGGAAUACAUCGGAAUCUACUUUUUCGUGGGGGAUAACGUAGGGAAACUUACGCUAAUACCGCAUACGACCUACGGGUGAAAGCAGGGGAUCUUCGGACCUUGCGCGAUUGAAUGAGCCGAUGUCGGAUUAGCUAGUUGGCGGGGUAAAGGCCCACCAAGGCGACGAUCCGUAGCUGGUCUGAGAGGAUGAUCAGCCACACUGGAACUGAGACACGGUCCAGACUCCUACGGGAGGCAGCAGUGGGGAAUAUUGGACAAUGGGCGCAAGCCUGAUCCAGCCAUACCGCGUGGGUGAAGAAGGCCUUCGGGUUGUAAAGCCCUUUUGUUGGGAAAGAAAAGCGGCAGGUUAAUACCCCGCUGUUCUGACGGUACCCAAAGAAUAAGCACCGGCUAACUUCGUG